rnacentral:rRNA from 1 species
CCUACGGGAGGCAGCAGUGAGGAAUAUUGGACAAUGGGCGCAAGCCUGAUCCAGCCAUGCCGCGUGCAGGAAGACGCAUCUAUGGUGUGUAAACUGCUUUUGUACAGGAAGAAACAUCCCGACGUGUCGGGACUUGACGGUACUGUAAGAAUAAGGAUCGGCUAACUCCGUGCCAGCAGCCGCGGUAAU